CCUACGGGUGGCAGCAGUGGGGAAUAUUGGUCAAUGGGCGCAAGCCUGAACCAGCCAAGUCGCGUGAGGGAAGACGGUCCUAUGGAUUUUAAACCUCUUUUGUCGGGGAGCAAAAGACGCCACGCGUGGCGUUCCGAGAGUACCCUAAGAAAAAGCAUCGCCUAACUCCGUGCCAGAAGCCGCGGUAAUAGGGGGGAUGCGAGCGUUAUCCGGAUUUGUUGGGUUGAAAGGGUGGGAAGGGGGAAGAUAAAGUCAGCGUUAAAAUUGAGAGGCUAAACCUCUUCGGGCCGUUGAAACUGGUUUUCUUGAGUGAGUGAGAGGUAUGCGGAAUGCGUGGUGUAGCGGUGAAAUGCGUAGAUAUAACGAAGAACACCGGUGGCGAAGGCAGCAUACCGGCGCUCAACUGACGCUCAUGCACGAAAGUGUGGGUAUCGAACAGGAUUAGAUACCCGUGUAGUC
rnacentral:rRNA from 1 species